AUGGAUCAUCGACUGUGGAUUAUUCUUGCUGCUCUUUUCUUUGAGUGUAAAGGAGAAGACAGAGUGAUCCAGCCAGCAGGAGACGUCACUGCUGCUGAAGGAGACACAGUUACACUGAACUGCACUUUUGAAACCAGUUUCACGACCGACUAUUUAUUCUGGUACAAACAAGAAGUGAACAGUUAUCCAAAAUACAUGUUGAAACGUUUCUCAACAACAGGAGAUAAUGCUGGAGAGUUCAGUAAGGACAGAUUUGAUGCUGAAAUCAAGGACAAGUCAGUUCCUCUGAAGAUCCAGAAGCUUCAUGUGUCAGACUCUGCUGUGUACUACUGUGCUCUGCAGCCCACAGUGACAGGAAACACCAAAACUCUGUACAGAAACCUGCAGAGCAAAUACAACACAAUACUCCACAACAUCCACUAG